UGGUGUUGUAUUUGUCCUUAUUUAUUUGUUUCAGUCCAAUUCAUUAAUUCUUAGGAUUGGUCCUGAAGACAGUCGGUCAUUCACACUGUCAGAACUAGAACCACCGACCUAUGUAUAUAAUAAAAGGAGAAAAAGAGUGAGAUACCCUUCUACAGUUGGCAGCCAUCUUGAGUACCUAUUUGUUCUCUUUGGUGACUUUACUUAUGCAUUAUUAAGUUAAUGCAAAUUAUUUGUGCGUACAAGUCGAGGAUUACCAUGACUUGUGUCGCAUUUGGUUGCAAAAACAAGUAUGCUGCUGGCAAUUCGAUUUCAUAUCAUCGUUUUCCCAUCCAUACUCCAGAGAGGUGCAGACAAUGGGUAAGGAAUCUCAAGGGAGAUUACUUUAUUCCCAAAAAGUUUUCGAUAAUUUGUUCGGAUCAUCUUACUCCGGAAUCCUUCAAUCGGACUCUGGACGUUGUAAGGCUGAGAGAAAAUGCCCUGCCUACUCUACAUAUUCAAAGCAUUCCCUCCUCGCCUUCAAGAAGAAGUAGCAAGAACUCUUCGAAAACGCAAGUCUCCUACAAGGAGGUCCUCAUCACCUAUUAAAAAGGUUAAACCAUCUCCUGGACUCGAGGUAGAUCUUCCCACUUUUAGGCUAUGGAAAAUGUGCAAUUGGAGCAUCUCUAUUCUCUCCCAUCAGCUCAAGUCAUUAAGGAGAGGCUCCAAUGGCAAACGAAUAUGAUUUUUGAGCUUGCGGACCGUUCUUAAAAAUACAAAUGUCAACGGAAUACAAUCUCCAAGAAGUUAGGAAACUUGGUUGUCGUUCUAAAAGACCUGAGGUCCAAGAGAAUGCUAUCAGAAGAGGCUUAAUCCAUUCUUGAUACAAUGUCUGACGUUCCUAAAAACCUUCUCAUAGGGAUGCAAAUUGGAACUGGUAUAAAGGGAAGUCGCAGUAGCUACUCACCUGAGCUCCAAGCAUUUGCUUUGACAUUGCCAUUCUACUCGACAAAAGCAUCUAGUUAUGUAAGAAAAACCUUUGACUUAUGCCUACCUAGUCUCAGUACCAAUCGAAACUGGUAUUCGAAUGUGGAUAGUGAUCUGGGUUUUACUCAAUCUUCCUUUGAUAUUCUUAAAUCGAAGGCCAAUAAAGCUCUCGAAUCUAAAGAAGAAAUUCUCGUCAAUUUGACAGUAGACGAAAUGUCAGUUUAAAAAAAAAUCAAUGGAAUAGGAAAAGAUUUGAUGAAUAUGUCAACAUUUAUCUUCAUGAAGAAGAACUUAGUGAGACUAUGAAAAUAAACUUAGGAAAAAGCACAUAAAAUUCCAUAAUACAUAUGAAAAUGAAGGUAAACUUGGCUACUCAACUUUUCAGCUCGUAUGUAGCAGAUGCGAUAGAAAUUUGGGAUAAAGACCUCCAAUUGAGGAAUUAAAAAAAAAAAUUAGGAACUGUCGACUUUAUUCGAAGAUUUGAUCGACUAUUUGAUUUCACCAAGAGCCGAAAUCCUUUGGCCAAAGGAUUCAAAUCUCCUCUUAGUAUUGGGAAUGAAGACUUUUGGAAAGCAUUUAUUGAAAAAAUGCUAUCGUAUAUUAACGAAUUGAAGUAUUAAUCUGGCAAUCCUUUGGUCAAAACGAAGAAAAGAACAGCUUUUGUUGGAUUCAUGGCAUCCAUAACUUCAAUGCGAUGUGACUCCUUUUGUGCAAAGCCUUGCACAAUUCAAAGAAUGCGUGGUUGCUUACAUCAGUGGGUAUAUAGUAAGGUCAGUUUCCAAGUACAUAGUAUGCUUUGAGGGCUUAGAGGCUCUUUACUCCAUGUAACUAAAGCAAUUUUUUAAUUGCGAGGAAAUCCAAUGGAGGUCUCCUUUAUCCAUCAAAAAGUGUAUUGAAAAUAUGUAUAGAAACUAAAAAAUGUCUCUUGUGACUCAAAAUUCAAGGAAUUCUCAAGACCAAAGCUACUGUGAUACAAAACACUAUUACCAGCAGUAUCCUACAAAUAUGCAAUUAUAAAUCCUAGAUAUUUAAGGAACUUAAAUCUCAUAGUCUUGACAGCUCACCAUUAAAUAACCAUAUCCUUAAAUUACAAAAACGUAUUAUCUUGACAUAUUCUAAAAUUAGGCUUCAUUUUGAAGCAUUUAAAAAAAAGAAUUUAUCCGAAAGUCUCUUUCGAAACAGAUUCUUUUUAAGAAUCAAUGAUUUAGAGGUAUUAAAUAUCAUGUGUAUAUUAUAUUUGUAUUUUCUAAAAAUAAAUAGUACCAAAGAUUGUUGUAAUAAAAUGAUUCUAGUUUAUUGUUGGUUCUGAUUCAACAUGGCUUCUCAAAUAACACAUACAACUCUUUGAAUUAUAAUUAGAUUAUUUAUUACUACGAUGUACCCGUAUUAUUUAUUUUAUUCCAUUUUUUUUAUAAAUACAUACUAAGACAAACUCCCUAA
rnacentral:lncRNA from 1 species